CCCUGCAGUGGGAGACAAGUGAAGGAGAGGAACUUCUUUCAUCUCCAUGCACACCCAAUUCGUGAACAGAACUCAACCCUCAACAGCCUGCGGGUUGUUUGUCAUUAAUUCUUCAUCCAUCUAUUCAGCGACAGGUUCAAUCAACAUUAAGUGCCAAUUGUCUAUGAAUAAGGCGUUGCCUUUGCCCUCUUGUGGCUCUUGCCCGAGUUCUCCUAAAUCUUGUUGUUGUUAUGGGGAUUGUGGCGCACACCCUUCUCAGGAGGAGCAAGUCCCAGGGGAGCAUUUGCUAGGUGCCAGAGGGAAGAUCAUCCCCAAGGAGAAGACAGCCACCUGAGAGCCAAAGGCAGAGGUCGCAGAGGAAAACAGCAGUGCUGCAGCCUUGACCUUGGACCUCCUGCAGCCAGAACUGAGAUGUAGGAACCAAGAAGAGACAAAAUUGGAACUGGAAUCCUGCCAGCAAAGCACAGCCUCUCUGCAUGGAUGUUGUGAAAUACCACCACAAUUUCUUCGAUGUCACCAAUCGCCAACUUCAAUCUUUUCCUCAAAUAUUGGAUAUAUAAAGUGCCCUAUAAGAUAUGUAUUUAUUCUGACACUUGUUCUGCUGUGAAAACAAUUUCACUCUUCACUGUAUUUUUCUUGGAAGUUGACUAGAAACCAAUAGCUCCCCGAUCCCUCCCAUGUGGAGCUAACCUGCACCACAGCUUGGCCGUAUGAACUGCAAGAAUCUUCAAGAGUUAAACAGUUGAAGUAAGAACUAUUUUGUCAGCUUCUCUGGGAGUGAGAUGCCAAAUGUGGAUUUUAAACAAUUAUCCCAGAUGAAUCUGAAGUUGAGGAGCAAGAACAUCUGAUUUGAUUCCUGUGAGAAGAAUCCUAACCACCACCUGGUGUUAUAUGUUGAUGCAUUCUACAUGCUGACUGAUCCCGCCAAAGCACCACCUAGAAGGCACUUCCUGGAGGUAGUAUUGCCCUCCUUUUGUAGUUGAAGGAAUUGAGGGAGAGGAUUAAGUUAAGCUUCAAAGCAUCUAGCAAUCUGAUUCUUUGAAGCUGAAGUUUUUUUUGUUCUCUCUUCAAAAUCCCCACAAACUUUCUCUUUUGUAAAACAACUCCACCAAAUUCAGAUAUCCAGCCUCCUCCUGCACAGAGGGCUUGAGGAGGAAGGAUCUGGACUAGGUUACAUAGAUUGGGUGAGCCCAGUUUAAAAUAAAGACAGUUAUGUUGGGCUGGUUCUCUUUGAAUGAGCCAAUCGUGACAGUGGUGGGUGGGUCCUGAGCAGAAUAAACCAAUCAUGAUA